GAUAUAAACUUAUAUGAGGUAUGAACUAUUUUAUCUAACUUUUUAAAAUUUUGACCUUUCAAUUUAUAAUUAUGAUAAUUAUAUGAAAUAUACUGACUAAAUUUGUAAACGUAAAUGACAUAUUCACAAUUUGAAUUCAAAAUACUAUUUACCGGCUUAAAUCAAACAAAUUGAAAGGUUGAGCGGUAAAAUCAAAAUUUGAAAGGUUGGAUAUAUAGUCGAAUUAAAAUAGUCUAUAAUUCAAGUAAGAUUUGUACGUUGUUUUCUAAAAGAAAAUUCUAAGUGUUUGCAU
rnacentral:lncRNA from 1 species